UACGUAGGGUGCGAGCGUUGUCCGGAAUUACUGGGCGUAAAGAGCUCGUAGGUGGUUUGUCGCGUUGUCCGUGAAAACUCACAACUCAAUUGUGGGCGUGCGGGCGAUACGGGCAGACUGGAGUACUGCAGGGGAGACUGGAAUUCCUGGUGUAGCGGUGAAAUGCGUAGAUAUCUGGAGGAACACCGGUGGCGAAGGCGGCAUCCUGGACCAUGACUGACGCUGAGGAGCGAAAGCCAGGGGAGCAAACGGG
rnacentral:rRNA from 1 species